AUGAACGCUGGCGGCGUGCCUAAUACAUGCAAGUCGAGCGAACGGACGAGAAGCUUGCUUUUCUGAUGUUAGCGGCGGACGGGGGAGUAACACGUGGAUAACCUACCUAUAAGACUGGGAUAACUUCGGGAAACCGGAGCUAAUACCGGAUAAUUUUUUGAACCCCAUGGUUCAAAAGUAAAAGACGGUCUUGCUGUCACUAAUGGAGGGAUCCGCGCUGCAUUAGCUAGUUGGUAAGGUAACGGCUUACCAAGGCAACGAUGCAUAGCCGACCUGAGAGGGUGAUCGGCCACACUGGAACUGAGACACGGUCCAGACUCCUACGGGAGGCAGCAGUAGGGAAUCUUCCGCAAUGGGCGAAAGCCUGACGGAGCAACGCCGCGUGAGUGAUGAAGGUCUUCGGAUCGUAAAACUCUGUUAUUAGGGAAGAACAUAUGUGUAAGUAACUGUGCACAUCUUGACGGUACCUAAUCAGAAAGCCACGGCUAACUACGUG
rnacentral:rRNA from 1 species